UGAUUUGUGGGGGACCCUCCUCGCCCCACAAUAAGCCUCUGGAGAAACCCCCACCCUCUCCGGAUGUGCUGACCCCUGCGAUUUCCCCAAAUGUGGGAAACUCGACUGCAUAAUUUGUGGUAGUGGGGGAUUGCGUUCGCACUCUCCCCUG
rnacentral:snRNA from 1 species